ensembl:lncRNA
GAUACAUUUAUUCACUGGACUGUAAAAUGAAUGACCAGGAGCUAACUGUGGGUAAACUCAGAAGUCGAAGGAGCUAGUUGCCCGGGGACUUGACGGUAUACCUUUUUUGAAAUAAACCUUGCGUGGUGCUGAAGGGGCUGAAAGGAGAUACCCCACGUCCAAGGUCAGGAGCGGUAGCCAAGAGGAGAUUUCCCACAUCCAAGCACAUAACCCACAAGAGGCCCUAGUAUGCAGAUGAGGAUGUGACAGUGAUUUUGGAGUUGCCUUCAACUUUGGGGGAACAGAAGAAACUGAAACACAAAACAAACUUAGAGAAGCUGAAAGAAGCUAAAGUAUUUAAAAACAUAUUAAAUGGGAAUCACUUCUUACCUUGAAAUGUUCUCAAAUGUCAUAGCACAAGAGAACCGCGGUGGCAUUGUGAAUAUAAGACCAAAAGAAGAUGGCAGCAACAGACCAUGGAACACGUCUGUACUGUUUUCCAGUCUCCACGGCCACCACCUGCCUCCACAGGCACCACCUAAGGAUUCUCAGAGCUGCAGGAAUGAGAGUUUUUUCAACUUUUAUCCUCAUGGUGACUCCCCAUGCAGUUUCUUGAGGGCUGUGGUAAACCAUUUCUCUGUAAUAAAAAUACCCAUGAUACUCUUUUCUCUACUGCCUCUUUGAAAUGUAAGAUGGCAGUAUUUAAAAAAAAAAGAUGGCAGUAUUAAAAUUGCUUAUAUUGAAUGUACUGUCAUUUCCAAAAUUCUUCACAUGGUCA